rnacentral:lncRNA from 1 species
UGAGUAACUUGCAAGGACCAUCUAGGCUCACUCCUAGUAACAAGAAGAAAUCACAGUUUGGUCCUCUACAAUUUGCCCCCUUUUCCGAAUGGUAAUUUAUUCAUUUAGUUUCCAUAAAUAUGUCCCAUAUGUUACUAAGUACUGUAGGUUAUCUUAUCAAAAUUACUUUUACCAUUUAUUCAAGCAUGGUAUUAGUAUCAGAUUAAGGAAAAUAUUUAAUAUUUCUCGAGUGCAACAAAGUUAAUUAUCAAAAUAAUCCGUAAAUUACAUUAUUAUUGGACAUAUUUAUUUAAUUUUCAGUCACAUCUAGGUGACCAAUACUUGAUGCACAACAAGACGGGGCAGGAGAGUGGCGGGGAAGAGGCUUGCAUUUAAGUUUAAAUCUCUCUUGAUAAAGUGUGCCACAUACAUAAGCUAAAGAUUGAUUUUUUUUUCUCCUAAUCUGAUCUUGUUGCUUACCCAUGAAGCAUUUUAUUCCUAUCUUAAUUAAAAAAAUCUGAACUAGCAAUGGCUAAAAAACUCUGUGCUGAGGCUUGGCAAUCUGUGCUUAAUGCACAUGUAAAACCCCUCACAACACAUAAAAUCUUGUUUAACUAAAUAGAUACAAUAAUAUAAGAAGAUUGAACAAUAAUCAAUACCUCCGAUGGAAAGAGUCACCAGGAAGAGCUUUUGAUCCUGUAGAGUUCAACCUCCACUUCAACACCAUCCCAGCUUAAAACUUGACAUGAUCAACAUUUUUCUUCCUCCCUGGAGCGGAAGGUAAUGUAAUUUUGCCAUAAAUCACCUGGUACUUGAUUUUGUGAUUGAAAUCUCAACUGCUAAUUUAGCAAAUUCUUUAAUUUCCACAAAAAGAGGAUGAUAUUCAUUUUUCAUGUUCGUCAAACUAUUCAUAUCAUCAUCCUCAAUUCCUCCUCCUCCGACUCCAUUGAGAUUAGUGAUUCUUCUUUCUUCUCCUCAUCAUCAAUUGUAGUAUAAGAGAAUCUUUAUUCUUCU